AGGGAAUCUUCCACAAUGGACGAAAGUCUGAUGGAGCAACGCCGCGUGAGUGAAGAAGGGUUUCGGCUCGUAAAGCUCUGUUGGUAGUGAAGAAAGAUAGAGGUAGUAACUGGCCUUUAUUUGACGGUAAUUACUUAGAAAGUCACGGCUAACUACGUGCCAGCAGCCGCGGUAAUACGUAGGUGGCAAGCGUUGUCCGGAUUUAUUGGGCGUAAAGCGAGUGCAGGCGGUUCAAUAAGUCUGAUGUGAAAGCCUUCGGCUCAACCGGAGAAUUGCAUCAGAAACUGUUGAACUUGAGUGCAGAAGAGGAGAGUGGAACUCCAUGUGUAGCGGUGGAAUGCGUAGAUAUAUGGAAGAACACCAGUGGCGAAGGCGGCUCUCUGGUCUGCAACUGACGCUGAGGCUCGAAAGCAUGGGUAGCGAAC
rnacentral:rRNA from 1 species